AUUGAACGCUGGCGGCAGGCUUAGCACAUGCAAGUCGAGCGGGGGAAGGUAGCUUGCUACCGGACCUAGCGGCGGACGGGUGAGUAAUGCUUAGGAAUCUGCCUAUUAGUGGGGGACAACAUCUCGAAAGGGAUGCUAAUACCGCAUACGUCCUACGGGAGAAAGCAGGGGAUCUUCGGACCUUGCGCUAAUAGAUGAGCCUAAGUCGGAUUAGCUAGUUGGUGGGGUAAAGGCCUACCAAGGCGACGAUCUGUAGCGGGUCUGAGAGGAUGAUCCGCCACACUGGGACUGAGACACGGCCCAGACUCCUACGGGAGGCAGCAGUGGGGAAUAUUGGACAAUGGGGGGAACCCUGAUCCAGCCAUGCCGCGUGUGUGAAGAAGGCCUUAUGGUUGUAAAGCACUUUAAGCGAGGAGGAGGCUACUUUAGUUAAUACCUAGAGAUAGUGGACGUUACUCGCAGAAUAAGCACCGGCUAACUCUGUG
rnacentral:rRNA from 1 species